ACGGGUGAGUAACACGUGAGUAACCUGCCCCUGACUUCGGGAUAAGCCCGGGAAACUGGGUCUAAUACCGGAUACGACCAUCGGACGCAUGUCUGGUGGUGGAAAGUUUUUUCGGUUGGGGAUGGGCUCGCGGCCUAUCAGUUUGUUGGUGAGGUAAUGGCUCACCAAGACGACGACGGGUAGCCGGCCUGAGAGGGCGACCGGCCACACUGGGACUGAGACACGGCCCAGACUCCUACGGGAGGCAGCAGUGGGGAAUAUUGCACAAUGGGGGAAACCCUGAUGCAGCGACGCAGCGUGCGGGAUGACGGCCUUCGGGUUGUAAACCGCUUUCAGCAGGGAAGAAGCGCAAGUGACGGUACCUGCAGAAGAAGUACCGGCUAACUACGUGCCAGCAGCCGCGGUAAUACGUAGGGUACGAGCGUUGUCCGGAAUUAUUGGGCGUAAAGAGCUCGUAGGUGGUUGGUCACGUCUGCUGUGGAAACGCAACGCUUAACGUUGCGCGUGCAGUGGGUACGGGCUGACUAGAGUGCAGUAGGGGAGUCUGGAAUUCCUGGUGUAGCGGUGAAAUGCGCAGAUAUCAGGAGGAACACCGGUGGCGAAGGCGGGACUCUGGGCUGUAACUGACACUGAGGAGCGAAAGCAUGGGGAGCGAACAGGAUUAGAUACCCUGGUAGUCCAUGCCGUAAACGUUGGGCACUAGGUGUGGGGGGCAUUCCACGUUCUCCGCGCCGUAGCUAACGCAUUAAGUGCCCCGCCUGGGGAGUACGGUCGCAAGGCUAAAACUCAAAGGAAUUGACGGGGGCCCGCACAAGCGGCGGAGCAUGCGGAUUAAUUCGAUGCAACGCGAAGAACCUUACCAAGGCUUGACAUACACCGGACCGUCCUGGAAACAGGUCCUCUUCUUUGAAGCUGGUGUACAGGUGGUGCAUGGUUGUCGUCAGCUCGUGUCGUGAGAUGUUGGGUUAAGUCCCGCAACGAGCGCAACCCUCGUUCUAUGUUGCCAGCA
rnacentral:rRNA from 1 species